UACAGAGGGGGCAAGCGUUGUUCGGAAUUACUGGGCGUAAAGGGCGCGUAGGCGGCCUUCUAAGUCGAACGUGAAAUCCCCGGGCUCAACCCGGGAACUGCGUCCGAUACUGGAAGGCUUGAAUCCGGGAGAGGGAUGCGGAAUUCCAGGUGUAGCGGUGAAAUGCGUAGAUAUCUGGAGGAACACCGGUGGCGAAGGCGGCAUCCUGGACCAAUACUGACGCUGAGGAGCGAAAGCUAGGGGAGCAAACGGG
rnacentral:rRNA from 1 species